rnacentral:misc_RNA from 1 species
UACGUAGGGGGCAAGCGUUGUCCGGAUUCAUUGGGCGUAAAGGGCACCUAGGCGGUUUAGCAAGUCGGAUGUGAAAGCUCCAGGCUCAACCUGGAGAGGCCACCCGAUACUGCUAUGACUCGAGUCCGGUAGGGGAUCGUGGAAUACCUGGUGUAGCGGUGAAAUGCGCAGAUAUCAGGUGGAACACCGAUGGCGAAGGCAGCGAUCUGGGCCGGUACUGACGCUGAAGUGCGAAAGCGUGGGGAGCGAACAGG